GUGGGGAAUUUUGCGCAAUGGGGGAAACCCUGACGCAGCGACGCCGUGUGAGGGAAGAAGGCUUUCGGGUCGUAAACCUCUGUCAGAAAGGAAGAACCUCCCAAGUCCGAAUAGGGCUUGGGACUGACGGUACUUUCAAAGGAAGCACCGGCUAACUCCGUGCCAGCAGCCGCGGUAAUACGGAGGGUGCAAGCGUUAAUCGGAAUCACUGGGCGUAAAGCGCGCGUAGGCCGCUUUGUAAGUCGGACGUGAAAGCCCUCGGCUCAACCGGGGAACUGCGUUCGAUACUGCGAGGCUUGAGUCCUGGAGAGGGUGGCGGAAUUCCGGGUGUAGGAGUGAAAUCCGUAGAUAUCCGGAGGAACACCGGUGGCGAAGGCGGCCACCUGGACAGGUACUGACGCUGAGGCGCGAAAGCGUGGGGAGCAAACAGGAUUAGAAACCCCGGUAGUCC
rnacentral:rRNA from 1 species